UUUUUUAAUUGGAAGCUGGAAUGAAAGGUAAAUACUGAGGGGAAAGUUUUUUUUAAAAAGUUUGAAAUUAAAUUAAAAGUAAAAAUGCUUUUAUAAAUCUUUGGGACGAGAAGACCCUAGAAGCUUUAAAUGGAUGUAGGUAUAUAUAUACAUAAAUAUAGACAUUUUAAAUUGGGGUAAUUUGUGAAGAUAUAAAUUUUUGUUAUAAUGAAAAGUUACUCUAGGGAUAACAGCAUUAUUUAAUUAACAAGUUCUUAUUAAUAAUUAAGUUUGUGACCUCGAUGUUGAAUUAAUUUUUUAUUAUUUAUGGUGGAGGUGCUAUUAAAUUAUUAGUCUGUUCGACUAUUAAAAGAUUACAUGAUUUGAGUUCAAAUCGGUUUAAGCCAGGUCG
rnacentral:rRNA from 1 species